AUGUCAGUGAUGGCUCGAUAGGAAACGUCCGGGAUCCUUAUCGUGUAUCUUUUAACUGUAUUUACAUUUUACGGCAAUCUUGUAGCUUUUUAAUUACAUUUAAAUACAACAAAUAUUAUAUAUUAAUACUGUCAGAACGAAUACUCAUUGUUAUACUACAUUGACUACUGAUUGAUUCGCGAUGGCGCCCCAUAAGUAUCGUUAGUACCGUUCGUCCAAGUGGCGCACAGUCAAAUGGAAUAUGGAUGGAGACAAUGUUAUGACUAUGGAAACUGAUAAAUCUAUCGGCGACAGUCUCGACAUAAAUCAGUAUCCAUCAAUGACAGUUCUAUACGAUCUAACAAUUCAGAAAGACUCUAUGACUAAUGAUGUUCCAUUGCCACAAUUUUGCUCCGAACAAGAGCUGUGCUUUAAGUAUUUUGAUAAAUGGAGCGAACAACACCAAAUAGAUUUUGUCAGACAUCUUCUGACACGUAUGUGCCACAACCAACAAGGACAAGUUGCCUCCUAUUUACAACCCAUAUUACAAAGAGACUUUAUAUCACUCUUACCUAACAAAGGCCUAGACCAUGUAGCUGAACACAUUUUGUCCUACUUGGAUGCUGAUUCUUUGUACGCUGCUGAGUUAGUGUGUAAAGAAUGGAAUCGGGUAAUUUCGGAAAGCAUGAAUUGGAAAAAGUUAAUCGAACGUAAAGUGCGUACUGAUUCGUUGUGGCGUGGGCUUGCUGAACGAAAAGGAUGGAUUAAAUACUUGUUUAAACCAAAGCUGGUAGAAUGCCAUCCUGAGAAUUUCUCCUAUAGGAGCUUGUUUCCUAAAAUAAUGAAAGAUAUUGAAAGCUUAGAAACAAAUUGGCAAACUGGAAAUUUUGUUUUGAAAAGGAUUAAUUGCCAGUCAGAAAACUCAAAUGGCGUUUACUGUUUGCAAUAUGAUGAUGAAAAAAUAGUCUCUGGAACAUGUGAUAAUAUUAUAAAAAUAUGGGAUAAAAAUACAUUACAAUGUACUAAGGUAUUAACUGGCCACACUGGAGCAGUCUUGUGCUUGCAAUAUGAUGACAAAGUGAUUAUUAGUGGCUCCAGUGACGGCACAUUACGUAUAUGGAACGUUGCAACUGGUGAAAUAAUAAACACUUUGGUACACCAUUCUGAAUCAGUUUUAAACUUGAGAUUUAACAGUACCAUGAUGGUGACUAGUUCAAAAGAUCGAUCAAUUGCCGUAUGGGACAGGGUAUCGUCCAGUGAAAUGAACUUGCGUUGUGAGUUAAUCGGACAUCAAGCUGCAGUAAACGAUGUCGAUUUUAACAACAAGUAUAUCGUUUCUGCUUCUGGAGACCGUACGAUUAAAGUAUGGAAUUCAUCCAAUUGUGAAUUUGUACGAACCCUAAUCGGUCAUGAACGUGGUAUUGCCUGUCUUCAGUAUAGAGACCGUUUGGUACUCAGCGGUAGUGGAGAUAAAACCAUCAGAAUAUGGGAUAUUGAAAACGGUGUUUGUUUAAGAGUACUCGAAGGUCAUGAAGACCUGGUACGAUGUAUUAGGUUCGAUAAUAAGAGAAUUGUUAGUGGAUCUUACGAUGGAACAAUAAAAGUGUGGAACUUAGUUGCGGCGUUAGACCCUCUAGCUCUUUCAACUACACUUUGUAUGUAUACUCUUAUGGAGCAACCUGGAAAAUUGUUUCAUCUCCAGUUUGAUGACUUUCAAAUUAUUAGCACCUCGUCUGAGGAUACCAUAUUCAUUUGGGAUUUCCUGAACUACAAUGAUACAGCUAACACGGCAGUAGGCCCAUCAAAUGACGCAGAGGUAUGUGCAGCAUCUACUCCACAUGCAAAGAGUUCCUUUCCACCUAUACAGCAACAGCCUUUAGGUAAACAUUUUAUUAUUUUUGUAUUGAGUAUAUAAUUUAGUUUGUGUUAAGCUGGUCCCACACAAUUUAUAUACUUUACGAUCAUCGUCAUGGCAGAAGCUCGCCGAGUUAUCCACCGAUAUAUUGACUUUACGAAUGAGUCGUUCCCAUGCGACUUGUGUAUUUGUCAGUACUUGGCAAUCGUAUAAACUUGUGUCUAUUUGUGUAUCCUCCUAUAAACACUGCCAGAUCAAAAUAGACAUUGACAGCAAAAAGAUUGCUGUUUGUGCCGUUGUUACUUUCCUGUGUGCACAUUUAAAGAAGAAAAAAAAAUCCAAAAUAAGAUGGUGGACCCUAUCAAUAAAAUACUACGCUUUAAAUUUGUUGGAAGACAUAAAUUGCGAACCAUCAGGCAAAUUCGAAAACUUUUGUAGAAUGUCGGCAGAGGACUUAGAGUUUCUGCUCAAUAAAUUAGGUCAUUAAUUAAAAAACAAAGUACAAAUAUGCGAAAGGCUAAAUCUAUGGAGGAAAGGUUGCAGUUACCUUAAGAUUUUGAGCAUCCGGAGACAGUUUUGUUAAUUUAUCAUAUCUGUUCAAGAUAUCUAACCUACUGGUAUCCAAUGCUAUACAUGAAGGUGUGUAAUGCUUUCAUACAUGUUUGGAAAAAUUAAAUCAAAGUAAAAAUUAAUUGAAUUUAGUUGAUAAAAAUAAAUCUAGGAAAAUUUAAAUUACAACUCCAUGUAUAAUAAAUUAGGACCUACUUUAAAUAAAAUAUAAACACUUCUUAGUUAAACUUUAUAUUUAUGUUUUUUUAUACUGAAAGAAUUUGAGUAUAAAUUACAUUUACAAAAAAAUAUAUCAUACCUUAGACAUACAACAACAUAUUUUGUUAAUAAUCAUAAUUUGGGUCAAUUAACGCCAAUACGAAUGGACAACGAUAUUAAAUGCAAACACAUAAUUUUACAAUGUCCUAUGAAUAGUGGCUCGGAAUAUCAACUACAAAGGCACAUUUAGUGUUGUACUUUUGACUUUGGUGAAUGCUGCUUACUCUUAUACUAUUGCCGAUGUGGGUUGUCAGGGACGUAUAAGCGAUGACUGUUUUUUUGACAAUAUUAAGUUAUUUAAAAAAAUUAAAUGAAAAUAAGUUGGAACUUCCUCCUAAUAAAACACUCCCUGGGAGAGAGAUGCAUGUACCAUAUGUAUUUGUCGCAGAUAACGCUUUCGGUUUAGGUCUACAAAUAAUCAAAGGGUAUACAAUAAAGGGAGUGUCGAAUUUUCAGCUAUUGUCUUUCACAAGCUCGUAGGGUAGUUGAAAACGUGUUCGGCAUCGGUAUUUCCAGUACUUUGCAAACCAAUACUACUUCGGUCUCAAUAAGUGUCGAAUAUUGUUAUGGCUUGUAUUUUACUACAUAAUAUUUUACGGAAAAGUAGAACGUGUUCUACGAAAUAUUCAGCUACGGGUUCUAUUGAUAACGAAAACGAAGAUAAAUUAAUUGAGCAAAAUGAUUUAAAAUCUAUAUGUUACCAACUCUUAAAAUACCUAGAAAAUCAGGAGAUGAAGCAAAAGAAAUUCGAGAUUCAUUUGCUGAAUAUUUUACACCUAACGGAAAAAUAUACCGUGACAAGAUGCCUAUUGUUAAGCUUAAUUAUAUUUUUAUUAAACGAUGUAUUAUUACUCAUACAAAAAGUUGUAUUUUAUUAUUUAUUUUAUAGGUUAUUAAUUG